UUUCGUUGCAGAUGAAGUGGAUGCAAUAGAAAUCCCACAUGUAUUGUAUGGAGAAUGGCAUGAUGAACACCGUCUGCGGAGAUCCGUUCCAAAGGUCCAACAAUUUGUGGAAGAAGUGGUCCCACAGUACAGUCCUUCAGACUUCAAAAGUCAUUUCCAAUUGUCCAGGGGACAUGUGGAAGAUGUGAUGACGACUAUUGGCCCGUUCUACUGGAACAGACAGCACAGUAAAGUGCCGCUUCAAAACAGUGUUCUUGCCUGUCUGUGGACUCUAUCAAACCAGGAGUCCUAUAGGGGGGUUGCUGAUCGUUUCAAUAUCACCAAAUCCACUGUCUGCCUGCAUCUCCAUGAAUUCUGUAGUCUUGUCACCACAUAUUUGUCUCACCACAUUUCCUGGCCCACAGGGCAAGCCCUACAUAAUUCUGAGUUAGGAUUUUGUGCAGCAGGAUUUCCCAACACUGUCUGUGCGGUAGAUGGAUGCCACAUUCCUAUUGUGAAACCACACUGUGAGAACCCAGUAGCAUACAUCAACAGAAAACAGUUUUAUUCUGUUGUGCUUACUGGGUUCUGUGACAGUAAACGGAGAUUCUGUCAUGUUAAUGUGGGCCACCCUGGUAGCUGGCAUGAUGCACGGGCAUUCCGGUUGUCUGCUGUUGGAAGGCUGCUUGAUGAAGAUCCCCAGUCCCUGGUGCCUGAGGGAAUGCACAUCAUUGGGGACUCUGCCUACCCACUACCCUCAGCUUAUGAGGCCAUACAGGGACAAUGGCCAUUUAACUGCUCGGCAGCGUCGUUUCAAUCAAAAAUUAAAUGUUGCACGCGUGGUCAUUGAGCAUACCUUUGGCCUACUGAAAACGAAGUUCAGGAGGCUCAAAUGUUUGUACAUGAAAAACAUUGCAAACAUUAGCACAGCAGUCACUGCCUGUUGCAUACUUCACAACAUGUGCUUGGAGGAAGGGGAAGCAAUUGAAGUUGAUGAGCAGGUUGAAGCA